UACGUAGGGGGCGAGCGUUGUCCGGAUUUAUUGGGCGUAAAGAGCUCGUAGGCGGUUCGAUAAGUCGGACGUGAAAUCUCCACGCUCAACGUGGAGGGGCCGUCCGAUACUGUCGUGACUCGAGUCCGGUAGGGGAGUGUGGAAUUCCCGGUGUAGCGGUGAAAUGCGCAGAGAUCGGGAGGAACACCCGUAGCGAAGGCGGCACUCUGGGCCGGUACUGACGCUGAGGAGCGAAAGCGUGGGGAGCAAACAGG
rnacentral:rRNA from 1 species